GAUGAACGCUGGCGGCGUGCCUAAUACAUGCAAGUCGAGCGAAUGGAUUAAGAGCUUGCUCUUAUGAAGUUAGCGGCGGACGGGUGAGUAACACGUGGGUAACCUGCCCAUAAGACUGGGAUAACUCCGGGAAACCGGGGCUAAUACCGGAUAAUAUUUUGAACUGCAUGGUUCAAAAUUGAAAGGCGGCUUCGGCUGUCACUUAUGGAUGGACCCGCGUCGCAUUAGCUAGUUGGUGAGGUAACGGCUCACCAAGGCAACGAUGCGUAGCCGACCUGAGAGGGGGAUCGGCCACCCUGGGACUGAGACACGACCCAGACUCCUACGGGAGGCAGCAGUAGGGAAUCUUCCGCAAUGGACGAAAGUCUGACGGAGCAACGCCGCGUGAGUGAUGAAGGCUUUCGGGUCGUAAAACUCUGUUGUUAGGGAAGAACAAGUGCUAGUUGAAUAAGCUGGCACCUUGACGGUACCUAACCAGAAAGCCACGGCUAACUACGUGCCAGCCGCCGCAGUAA
rnacentral:rRNA from 1 species